GCCAUAUUUCACUUUCUAUGGUAGCAGGGACGCUUGGUUUGUAUUUGAUUCAAAACUUAAAUAAACUAUUCGUAUGCUUGUUUUCUUGUUUUGAAAUCAUGAUUUUGUUUUGUUUUUAUGGCUUUUUACUUACCAAUCACGAUUCUUUCGUCAUUAGCUUCACCUCAGUUGGUAGACACUAGAAAUGGCAUGCUUUUAAUCUUAAUUAUUUAAGUGGAUAAAAUAUAAAAUAUGAUUUUUUUUCACAUUUUUUGUUAAUUAAUAUUAAUUAUGUCAUGGAUUGGUGUACUAAACUUCUACAAUUGGAACCGUGUUAAGCUGAUAUAUUGUGAUGGAGCUUCAUUCACUGGAGACGCUAUCUUCGAUAAUGGGGUGCAACGUGUUACGCAGUGUAGCAAAACAGAAUGCAUCAACUUCAUAGUUCAGAUACCAUUGCACUUUGAAGCUCUCCUUUCUCAUCCAGAUACUAAUCACAGUAAACUCAAGUACACUAGUUUCUCUCUCUCUCUCUCUCUCUCUCUCUCUCUCUCUCUCUCUCUCUCUCUAUUUGUUUAUUGAUAAGUUUUUAUUUAUAUUUUUUUAAAACAAAUGGGUCACUGGAUUAGAAUGAACCGAGUCCGACCUAAAUAGCAAAUUUAGUGAAGCAACCAAACCAAGCUUCGCUGUCUCUUGGCCUGGGUCAGGUAGUCGAGAACAGAAACUAAUGAUUGUAAUUGCAUAACGGGAUUGGGACUUGGGAGGAGGUACCAUUUCAGAAGCUAAAAAUGGUUGGAAAGAGAUUAAGCAUAACCUUAACAAUAAUAUUCGCUGCUAUUUCCUUCUCCACUGCAAUCUCUGCAUAUGUCUUAAGUAGAAAAUGUAAGGGUUUGAAGUCCAAGAUUCUUGAGCUGGAGACAUCUCUCAAGUCUUCCUUAGAAAAACGUGCCUUUGAAAGGCAACGGAGAAUUAGGACUCAACAGGUUACCCUUCUUUCAACACUCCUAUUCUUCAUUUAUUUCUAGUAACUAUAAUCUUAACUUUGGUCGGUUACUUACUCUUCAAUCAUGUCUCAAUUAGUACUUGCCACUUGCCACUACAUCAAGUUUAGUUUUUUACCCCUUUUUUAUUUUUUUCGCCUUAUUUUUUUUUGCUGAUUCAUUUGCUCAAGUAUUUAUCUGAAAAUUUGAAGCUGACAUAUUACCCUAUGGCACCGAUUGGUACCAUCUGCUCAUGCUUCUCUACGAGGUAAUGAAUAAUGUUUAUUCAAUAGUUCUUAAUUUCAAAAUUUGAUCAUUAAGGUCCUUAGGUAGUUAAGUGCAUCAUUAAUAUUGAAUUUUUCCUAUGCUUAUUCAGUAGGUAACCUGCACAUUGAUAAAUUUCUUAUUUAAUGCCACAUUCAUGAUUAAUGAAAUAUUUCUUUAUACUAGUGUAGGAAUGGGACACCGAGACAAUCGUUACUUGUCCCACUUGCUACAGCCUGUUUGGUUUUUAAUGCCACUCGUGUUUCGCCAGCAUAUUUUGAGGGUCUAGCUGAAUAUUCUCACUGCUGGGUUUUAUAUGUAUUUCAUUUAAAUAUAGAUCUUAAGAAACUAUAAAAGCUUGUAGUAUUUUUUUGUUGUUUAGAUUUGUAACAUAAUUUAUUACUUUUCAAGAGAAAUUUGUGUAUCAAUAUUUUGAGUUUAAUGAAAUAUCUC